AUACGUAGGUGGCGAGCGUUGUCCGGAUUUACUGGGUGUAAAGGGCGAGUAGGCGGGCUUGCAAGUCAGAUGUGAAAUACCGAGGCUCAACUUCGGGGUUGCAUUUGAAACUGCGAGUCUUGAGUGAUGGAGAGGCAGGCGGAAUUUCCACUGGCGCGGUAAAAUGCAUAGAUAUUGGGAAGAAAACCAGUGGCGAAGGCGGCCUGCUGGACAUUAACUGACGCUGAGGAGCGAAAGUGUGGGGAGCAAACAGGAUUAGAUACCCUGGUAGUCCACACCGUAAACGAUGGAUACUAGGUGUGCGGGGACUGACCCCCUGCGUGCCGCAGUUAACACAAUAAGUAUCCCACCUGGGGAGUACGAUCGCAAGAUUGAAACUCAAAGGAAUUGACGGGG
rnacentral:rRNA from 1 species